CUUAGACACGGCAGAAUUAUCAGUUGUAGGAGCACCUAACUUUACAAUCUCAUUGUUUCCCAUAUCAAGGUCGUCAGAAAGUGUAAGUCCACUGUAAGUCUCACGCUUACUUCUACCACCGCUAAUCUUAUCUUCCACCCACUUUUUGGCCACAAGGGAGGAGUCUCUGUCAGGGACAGCGUUAGAAUAGAUUUGAAAGUUAUUUGUAUUCAUAUUUCCAGUCAUGGAGCCACCAUUCCUUUUGAGGUAAUCAUUAUCACUUUUAUUUCUAAAAGAAUUUAACCUUAAUGUUAGAGUAUCAAGGUUAACAGGAUCCCCUCCACUCUUAGGAACCGAAACAUUUCUUAUCCUAUUUCCGUCCAUAUUAAUUGCUCCUGACAUUUUAAAACCGGAGGGACCAAGAAGUGUAG